rnacentral:rRNA from 1 species
CACGGGUUCGGGUGUUACCGACUUUCAUGACGUGACGGGCGGUGUGUACAAGGCCCGGGAACGUAUUCACCGCAGCGUUGCUGAUCUGCGAUUACUANCGACUCCGACUUCACGGGGUCGAGUUGCAGACCCCGAUCCGAACUGAGACCGGCUUUAAGGGAUUCGCUCCACCUCACGGUAUCGCAGCCCUCUGUACCGGCCAUUGUANCAUGUGUGAAGCCCUGGACAUAAGGGGCAUGAUGACUUGACGUCGUCCCCACCUUCCUCCGAGUUGACCCCGGCAGUCUCCUGCGANUCCCCGCCAUUACGCGCUGGCAACACAGGACAAGGGUUGCGCUCGUUGCGGGACUUAACCCAACAUCUCACGACACGAGCUGACGACAGCCAUGCACCACCUGUAUACCGACCACAANGGGGCACCUAUCUCUANGUGUUUCCGGUAUAUGUCAAA